GACGAACGCUGGCGGCGUGCUUAACACAUGCAAGUCGAGCGGUAAGGCCCUUUCGGGGGUACACGAGCGGCGAACGGGUGAGUAACACGUGGGUGACCUGCCCUUAGCUCUGGGAUAAGCCUGGGAAACUGGGUCUAAUACCGGAUAUGACUCCAUGAUGCAUGUUGUGGGUGGAAAGCCUUGUGCGGCUAGGGAUGGGCCCGCGGCCUAUCAGCUUGUUGGUGGGGUGANGGCCUACCAAGGCGACGACGGGUAGCCGGCCUGAGAGGGCGACCGGCCACACUGGGACUGAGACACGGCCCAGACUCCUACGGGAGGCAGCAGUGGGGAAUCUUGCGCAAUGGGCGAAAGCCUGACGCAGCGACGCCGCGUGAGGGAUGACGGCCUCGGUGUAAC
rnacentral:rRNA from 1 species